AUUAAUGGCGGACGAAGACAGCUGUGAUCGUGACAGUCCCGAAAGUUUGAAAAAGAAAAUAUCAAAACGGAGCCUCAGAAGACUACAGGUUACAGCUGCCAAAAAGCUGAGAUGUAAUGUAUGUCCCAACAAAAGGUUCACUUCUCUUAAGAUGUAUGAUGACCACAUGGCGUCCAAGAAGCACAGAAAGGUUAAAUUACAGAACAAUUCCGAGGGAGCGUGGGUUUGCCAGGCUUGUGAGCUUGUGCUGACCUCUCAAUCUGAAUGGGUGAAGCACCUCUGUGGUCGUCGACACCAUUUCAAACUUAAGGAGUGGAGUUUAAAACUUUUCCCAACUUCAUAUCCAGUCACUCAAAAAGAAAUAGAUUUGUUAGAUGACUCUUGUUAUGAAGAGACAGAGGACAAUGACAUGGAGACAAUGGAUAAUAAAGUGGGGAAAGUGACUCUAGAAAUCAAUUUUUAAACAGAAGAUCAAUGGAAAUAAUACAUCCUGAAAUGGAAUGAUUGAAGGUCCUCAGGUUGGCGUAUCAGAUCAUCGUGCCAGAGCUCGCAGAAAAACACUUCUCGGCUUCUCAAAGACUUGUGCUCCUUCGAAGAAAUAAAAUCCGUGUCAUUACUGCUACACUUCCGAGGCUGUAGUAUAUCUGUGCCUCUACGACAGCUCGAUGUCCUCUGUUUCUUGGUUCCAGUCAUCGACGGGGAAGAAGCGCUGGCUCCUCUCCCGAAUAGCGGAAUCGAGUCUUCCACGUGAAGUGCUCUGACGAGAGUCAAAACGGCUGCCAGAGUUGUAACACGAGGCUGAUAGGGGUACUAGUUAAUGUUUCAUAAUCAGGACGCUGGUCCAUUGCAAACUAUCCUAGCAACUCAUCAAGUUCCCGACAGUUCUCUGCACUCUGGAUGGAAAGAAGUACGAUGAGGAAAACCCCGCCUGAGAGCACAGCCUUAAUAUCUACAACAAGUUUGAACUCUGUAUUCAACCAUUUGUAUCGCCAACCAUUGUUGGGAACGAACACUGGUUUUUGUUUGUCAAUGGCUCAUGCAUUAGCAUUUUAAAUUUUUUCGCCAAAUUCAGUUACCGCGAAAAUUUAAUCGACAGAAAAAAGAAAGAUACAUAACGUCA